GGUCUGUUAGCGUAGGGGUUAGUGCGCUUGUUUUGCGUUAUCUUUUAUAAAUAAUCUAGACUUAUUCAUAAGGGUUUUUUAGUAAGAGGUCGUGGGUUUAAAUCCUAUAUAGGCCA